rnacentral:rRNA from 1 species
CCUACGGGAGGCAGCAGUGAGGAAUAUUGGUCAAUGGGCGUAAGCCUGAACCAGCCAAGUAGCGUGAGGGAUGAAGGUUCUAUGGAUCGUAAACCUCUUUUAUAAAGGAAUAAAGUGCGGGACGUGUCCCUUUUUGUAUGUACCUUAUGAAUAAGGAUCGGCUAACUCCGUGCCAGCAGCCGCGGUAAUACGGAGGAUCCGAGCGUUAUCCGGAUUUAUUGGGUUUAAAGGGUGCGUAGGUGGGCUUUUAAGUCAGUGGUGAAAGUAUGUGGCUCAACCAUAGAAUUGCCGUUGAAACUGGGAGGCUUGAGUAUGGUUGAGGUAGGCGGAAUGCGUGGUGUAGCGGUGAAAUGCUUAGAUAUCACGCAGAACCCCGAUUGCGAAGGCAGCCUGCCAAGCCAUGACUGACACUGAUGCACGAAAGCGUGGGGAUCAAACAGGAUUAGAUACCCGAGUAGUC